rnacentral:tRNA from 1 species
UCCCUGAUGGUCUAGUGGGCUACGAUUGCGCUCUCACCGGCCCGGUCCGGUUCGAUUCCCGGUCAGGGAA